UUACAUUAUUUUAACUGCAGUCCAGCGCCCCUGUGAAAAUGCCCUUCUUUACCUAUUAGUAAAUAAGGAGCGGAUAUCAGGCACAAUUUAUGCCCAUAACAUCUUGCCAAGCCACACCUCUACAGGAAUUCAGCAGUGAUAAACAUUGAAAAAUAAGCGUCAAUAAGCUCGAAUCAGUAAUAAUUUUAAGAGUUGGUAAAUUUCGUGCCAGCCACCGCGGUUAUACGAGAAACUCAAAUUAAUAAAAACGGCCUAAAGCGUGAUUAAAUUAUAUUAAAAUAAAUAGAAAUAAAAAUUAACUCGACUGUUAUACGUAUAUGUUAAACGGUAAACCAAAAACGAAAGAUAUUCUAACAAAUAAACUACUUGAACCCCCGAAAGCUAAGAAACAAACUAGGAUUAGAUACCCUACUAUGCUCAGCCUUAAACUUUGGAACAUAUUGCCAAUACCGCUUAUAUACCGCCGUCGUCAGCUCACCAUUUGAAUGAAAAAUAGUAGGCAUAAUGAUAAACAUAAAAACGUCAGGUCAAGGUGUAGCCUUUUUUUAACUUGGAGAUUCGGAAAUUUUUUGGAAAACUUUUUUAAGGGGGGUUUUGCCGUAAAAAGGAAAUAGGGUGUUUUUUUUAAAUAGGCCAUAGGGGGGGCACACACCGCCCGUCACCCUCCUCCGGAAAACCACUAAUUUUAAUGAGAAGGGAGGAGGAGGNCC
rnacentral:rRNA from 1 species